rnacentral:lncRNA from 1 species
UCAGAACCUCGUCUCUCUCCUCUCUAUCCCUAGAGACUAAUCCCCACCGUCUCCGCCACCCUAAGAUAGCUGUCUGCUGCCGCCGGAAAUUGUCUCCUCAGGCGGUGAGCCUCCAAACCACCCAGUUUUUACACCAUAGACUCAUCUCCUUCUCCUCUUUCCAAAUAUCCAACUAGUUUUAUUUGAAUCCCCGCCAAACCUCUCGAGUCCGAAAUCAAAUAAGGACGGCCAAACCUAACUCACCCAAAAAUCCCCAAAGUUACACCCUAAACUCCCCAUUGUCUCCUGAUUACCAAUAUCCAAUUAGUUUCCCUCAAAUCUACGCCAAUCCUUUCGAAUCUUAAAUCAAAGAAGAAACCCUAAAAUUCCAUAAAGGGUCCGAAUCAGUGGGAUUUUGAAGUUCUGAGUUUAGGAUGAAGCUCAGUUGUCUGUUCUCAUUUUAGAACACAUGAUUGAAGCUUAUUCCAGCCUCAAAUUCAUGGGUACAUCGAUGGUCAAUUUCAAAGAGGGUAUCCGUUAGUGUCGGGGAGGUAUGUCCCAUUCUCCUGGAUUUUUUCUUUUUUUGCUCUUUUCUUUUGGCUAUCCACCUCUAUCUUUUUCUUCUUUUCUAUUUGUAUGUCUCCUUUAUACUUGUGUUCAUUUUAGUUUAGGUUAAUUAUCCCCUUUAGUUUUGUCUUAGGUCGUUGUAAUUUCCAGAAACUUCAUCAUGAAUUCAAAAAAAUAUUUUGUUCAAAAUCGUUUGUGUGUUUAGUCCUGCAACAAUUAUUUGUUCAUCUUGCAAUCAGUAAUUAGUCCAUUACUUUAGUAACUUCAACUUUAUAGUUUAAUUAGUCUAAGAGUUUAAUUGCUGAAAUUGUCUCCAUUUUUUCUUUAGUAUUUCAGACUUUUGACUAGGCUGAUGGCUUGUUUGAGUCUUGGUUUGUUUCUGGCCAACUCAAAAAAAGAAGGGUAGGCCCAGUCGGGAAUUGGACCAUUAGGUCGAAUUGACCUAUAUUCAUUUGGUCUGCUGAGGUAAAAUACAAAGGUAAUAGGGGUAAAAUGGGUAGACCACCUAGAUAAUCUUUCCCUCACUGCUCUAGGAAGCUUCAUAGAAAGCUGAAAAUAGAAUAACUUGAUCCACAAGUCAUAAAAUUAGGACUAAGAAACAAAAAGAAAAGCUGAAAAGGACUGAUUUGCAAAAAUAAAAACUCUGUAGUUGCCCUAUUUGCUUGCCUAUAAAGGUAUUGCAUUCUUUCCUUGCAGGAGGGCUGAGAGAAAAAGAGCUGAAAUACAGACAAAAAAAGUGAUCAAAACCUAGAUAAUUUCCAAGUACUGAAAAUCCUGAAAAUCUAAACGACUGAAAACUCUAAAAAUACUGUUUAACCGAAUCCUGUUGGUGAGUUCUGAAUUUUCUUCUAGUGCGAAAAUAAUUUUUGGGUAGUUUUAAGUUGAAAUUAAUUGAAAUCAAGUCUAGGCUGAGGUCUUUUGGUUCAUAGUUGGGUUUGAAGUUGUUCUUCUAGGCUUCUUUACUUCAUUUAGUAGGUUUAAAACUGGUCGUUUACUUGCUAAUUUUGUGUUGCUGAUGUCUAUUGUUUCCACCCCUUUUCCCUUUUAAUUUCCAGGUACUCAUCCCUGAAACUCACAAUGUUACAUCCAAUUGGAAAUUGAGAAAUGGAACUUGGAUUAUGAUGUUUAGAUGCUAGACUUUUAGACAAUAGUCAAUUUCAUUCCUAUUUCCUGUAUCUUACUCCUCUUAAAUGACAUGUGAGAUAUUGGUUUGAUUUUGUUGAAAUAAUUGGACUCUGAACCUGAUAAAUCAUAUGUUAGAGUUUGAGUAUCUAGAUCACACUUUUCAUGUUGUAAUCAAGUGACAAAGUACUGUACUGAAGUAUUUUGUUUGUUUAGCUUCCCUUUUCCUUAUGUAACAAUUCUGGACAGGGGCUGCUAUGUAGUAUUUAGAAUGUUGGGGUGUGCUAAAAACUAAGUGGUGUUAGUAUAAGUUGCUGUGAGAUUUGGAUUGGUUUAAUGAGUGUAUUUUAUUUUGGUUAUAGAAAUGGCCAUGCAUGUUAAAGAUUGGC